GUGAAUCAUCAAAUUUUUGAACGCAAAUUGCACUCUCUUCGGAGAGUAUGCCUGUUUGAGGGUCAGCCUAAAAAAAAAUCGACAUAGUCGCUGUUUCGCGGUGACUUUCGUCGGCUAUUGGGUCAUAUUAAACUUUUGGGUUUUAAGCGGCGUAAUAUUUUCUUUACGAUUCAACGAAUGUUUCUAUGUUUUUACUUAUU
rnacentral:misc_RNA from 1 species